GAUACGAUUUUCCAAAGAAUAUCUCCGUCUGGCCGGCCGUAUGCUAAAUGUCACUAAAGCUUCGUUAACAUUGGAGUACUUUGAUUAUUAAUAAAGUUUCAUGAAACAAUAACUAGUUGAGUUUUUUUAAUAUUUUUCGUCUAAUUAAAACGGCACCGUACUUUGGAAAAAAAACUGUAAAUUAAACUUGUUAUGUUUUUGAAUUAUUUAAUUAUUUUUAAUGAAAUUUUAUUGGACCGUGAUUAACCUCAGUCUCUUAACUGGAGUUAUUAGCUUCAGUUAAGAGACGAUUCUUAGUUUUUUUUCAAGAUUUUAACUAAGAAAAAAUAAGAACUGUCUCUUAAGUAAGAAAUAUAAGAGUUGUUUUUUAGUCGAAAAGUGUAAAAAAAAAAUAAAAAAAUAAAAAUAAAAAAUGUCAAAUCAUGAAUUAGGAACCCCGACUCAGAGACUGGAUUUAAUCAUGCCCUUGGUAACAAUUUUACUCUAGAUAAAUACUAGUAAUUACAACUCAACUGAACUAAAUUCGGGUCAGACCCACCUUUCCAAUAAAAUUAGUUUUUGACCCCAAUGACCAAUCCUUCAAAUUUUGACAUGUCCUCUUUCCUUUUUUUUUUUUGGCAACUUCAUAUCCUCUUUCCUCUCUUCUUCAUUUGACCUCAUUCUUAUCUCCCUUUCCCUUUGUCCAAUUAAUUUCUAUUUUCACUCUUAACACGAAAUUCAUCCUCUUCUCGUCGUAUUCAUAACACCUCUCAUCUUCUACUAAAGGUAAGUGACCAUCAAUUUUGGAUUAGGUUUUAGA
rnacentral:lncRNA from 1 species